rnacentral:rRNA from 1 species
AACGAACGCUGGCGGCGUGCCUAACACAUGCAAGUCGUGCGAGAAAGUUCCUUCGGGAGCGAGUAAAGCGGCGCACGGGUGAGUAACACGUAGGUAACCUGCCCCCAAGUCUGGAACAACUGGAGGAAACUCCAGCUAAUGCCGGAUGAGACCACGAUCCCCUCGGGGGUUGUGGCCAAAGAUGGCCUCUGCUUGCAAGCUAUCGCUCGGGGAUGGGCCUGCGGGCCAUUAGCUAGUUGGUGAGGUAACGGCUCACCAAGGCAGUGAUGGCUAGCUGGUCUGAGAGGAUGACCAGCCACACUGGGACUGAGACACGGCCCAGACUCCUACGGGAGGCAGCAGUGGGGAAUAUUGCGCAAUGGGCGAAAGCCUGACGCAGCGACGCCGCGUGGGUGAUGAAGGCCUUCGGGUCGU